rnacentral:rRNA from 1 species
UACGAAGGGGGCUAGCGUUGCUCGGAAUCACUGGGCGUAAAGGGUGCGUAGGCGGGUCUUUAAGUCAGAGGUGAAAUCCUGGAGCUCAACUCCAGAACUGCCUUUGAUACUGAGGAGCUUGAGUACGGGAGAGGUGAGUGGAACUGCGAGUGUAGAGGUGAAAUUUGUAGAUAUUCGCAAGAACACCAGUGGCGAAGGCGGCUCACUGGCCCGUUACUGACGCUGAGGCACGAAAGCGUGGGGAGCAAACAGG